CGUUUCGUUUAAAACAGUCAGAUUUAGAACUACUGCCACUGACUGCACCGGAAGUCUAUUUAUAUAAUGGCGCCACAAAGAAAAUUUUUUUGAUGUGUUCUAAAAGUGUUCCGCUAAUUCAGCAAUCUAAUGAAUCUGUCUUAAUUUUUCUGAAAUCGUGCUUAAUUAUUAUUAGCUAAUCGGCGCUACACCGUUGUUCAAAUACUUAUAAUUGCAAGAAACCCCCGACUAGGACCAGCAGUCAUUGAUGUUAGCAUGUACUACACAAAGAAAAACAGGCAAAGCAUGAAGCCAAAGGAAAUGUUUUUACCAAGGCAUGUUCCUCAAUAGC